rnacentral:rRNA from 1 species
GAUGAACGCUAGCUACAGGCUUAACACAUGCAAGUCGAGGGACCGGCGCACGGGUGAGUAACGCGUAUCCAACCUACCCAAUACGCAGGCAUAACCCGUUGAAAGACGGACUAAUUCCUGAUGGUAUUGGCGGGGGAUGCGUCUGAUUAGUUUGUGGGUGAGGUAACGGCUCACCAAGACUUCGAUCAGUAGGGGUUCUGAGAGGAAGGUCCCCCAGAUUGGAACUGAGACACGGUCCAAACUCCUACGGGAGGCUGCAGUAAGGAAUAUUAGGCAAUGGAUGCAAAUCUGAACCGGCCAAUUGGCGUGCAGGAUGACGGCCUAUGGGUUGUAAACUGCUUUUAUGUGAGGAUAUGUAUCACAUGAAUAAGGACCGGCUAAUUCCGUGCCAGCAGCCGCGGUAAUUC